rnacentral:rRNA from 1 species
AUUGAACACUGGCGGCAUGCCUUACACAUGCAAGUCGAACGGUAACAGGUCUUCGGAUGCUGACGAGUGGCGAACGGGUGAGUAAUACAUCGGAACGUGCCUAGUAGUGGGGGAUAACUACUCGAAAGAGUGGCUAAUACCGCAUGAGAUCUACGGAUGAAAGCAGGGGAUCGCAAGACCUUGUGCUACUAGAGCGGCCGAUGGCAGAUUAGGUAGUUGGUGGGAUAAAAGCUUACCAAGCCGACGAUCUGUAGCUGGUCUGAGAGGACGAUCAGCCACACUGGGACUGAGACACGGCCCAGACUCCUACGGGAGGCAGCAGUGGGGAAUUUUGGACAAUAGGCGCAAGCCUGAUCCAGCAAUGCCGCGUGCAGGAUGAAGGCCUUCGGGUUGUAAACUGCUUUUGUACGGAACGAAAAGCCCCGGGUUAAUACCCUGGGGUCAUGACGGUACCGUAAGAAUAAGCACCGGCUAACUACGUGCCAGCCGCCGCAGUAA